GUUCCAGGUUAGCUCAAUCGGUAGACCAUGAGACUCUUAAUCUCAGUCAUGGGUUUGAGCCCCAUAUUGAGCA